GACGAACGCUGGCGGCGUGCCUAAUACAUGCAAGUAGAACGCUGAAGGAGGAGCUUGCUUCUCUGGAUGAGUUGCGAACGGGUGAGUAACGCGUAGGUAACCUGCCUGGUAGCGGGGGAUAACUAUUGGAAACGAUAGCUAAUACCGCAUAACAGUAGAUGUUGCAUGACAUUUGCUUAAAAGGUGCAAUUGCAUCACUACCAGAUGGACCUGCGUUGUAUUAGCUAGUUGGUGGGGUAACGGCUCACCAAGGCGACGAUACAUAGCCGACCUGAGAGGGUGAUCGGCCACACUGGGACUGAGACACGGCCCAGACUCCUACGGGAGGCAGCAGUAGGGAAUCUUCGGCAAUGGACGGAAGUCUGACCGAGCAACGCCGCGUGAGUGAAGAAGGUUUUCGGAUCGUAAAGCUCUGUUGUAAGAGAAGAACGAGUGUGAGAGUGGAAAGUUCACACUGUGACGGUAUCUACCAGAAAGG
rnacentral:rRNA from 1 species